rnacentral:lncRNA from 13 species
GAUAAAACAGGUAGUUAUAGAUAUGGAUUAACCAGGUAGUUAUAGAUAUGGAUAAACCAGGUAGUUAUAGAUAAACCAGGUAGUUAUAGAUAAACCAGGUAGUUAUAGAUAUAGAUAAACCAGGAAGUUAUAGAUAUGGAUAAACCAGGUAGUUAUGGAUAAAACAGGUAGUUAUAGAUAUGGAUAAACCAGGUAGUUAUAGAUAUGGAUAAAACAGGUAGUUAUAGAUAUGGAUUAACCAGGUAGUUAUAGAUAUGG